rnacentral:rRNA from 1 species
UACGAAGGGUGCAAGCGUUGUUCGGAUUUAUUGGGCGUAAAGCGCGCGCAGGCGGAUGCGCAAGUCAGGUGUGAAAUCUCGGGGCUUAACCCCGAAACUGCGCCUGAAACUGCGGAUCUAGAAUCUCAGAGGGGAAAGGGGAAUUUCUCAUGUAGGGGUAAAAUCCGUAGAGAUGAGAAGGAACACCAGUGGCGAAGGCGCCUUUCUGGCUGAGUAUUGACGCUGAGGCGCGAAAGCGUGGGGAGCAAAC